rnacentral:ncRNA from 2 species
UACGCUCGCCUACGCUAUGGUUCCUGCAUGUCGGCUGGCAUGCGGGCUAAGAGGGAAAACGGUACAAGCCGGUGCUGCCCCCGCAACUGUAAGCUGAGAGAUAUCAGGCCAUUCUGCCACUGGGGCCCGUCGGGCACCGGGAAGGCGGCCUUCUAUCGUUGACCAGCAAGCCAGGAGACCUGCCAUUGCCUGAAAGUCACG